CGCUAUCGCCUUGCCUAUACAUGCAGUCGAGCGGGGUCCAUCCGGCAGCAUGUGGGUUUGUACCUACGGCGAACGGGUGAGUAACACGUGAGAACCGGCCCCGAAGUUCGGGAUAACACCGGGAAGCCGGUGCUAAUACCGGGCACCCCCACCUGACCGCGUGAUCGGGUGAGGAAAGCCAUAUCUAAUCAAUAUGGUGCUACGGGAGGGGCUCGCGGGCUAUCUGUUUGUUGGUGAGGUAACGGCUCACCAAGGCGACGACGGCUAGCUGGUCUGAAAGGACCACCACCCACACUGGGACUGAGACCCGGCCCACACUCCUACGGGAGGCAGGGGUGGGGAAUCUUGCGCAAUGGGCGAAAGCCUGACGCACCACCGCCGGGUGGGGGAUGAAGGCCCUCGGGUUGUAACCCCCUUUCAGCAGGAACGAAAUUGACGGUACCUGAAAAACACGCCCCGGCCAACUACGUGCCAGCAGCCGCGGUAAUACGUAGGGGGCGAGCGUUGUCCGGAUUCAUUGGGCGUAAAGAGCUCGUAGGCGGUUUGGCAAGUCGGGUGUGAAAUCUCCGGGCUCAACUCGGAGGAGGCCACUCGAUACUGCUAUGACUAGAGUCCCGGUAGGGGACUAUGGAAUUCCUGGUGUAGCGGUGAAAUGCGCAGAUAUCAGGAGGAACACCGGUGGCGAAGGCGGUAGUCUGGGCCGGUACUGACGCUGAGGAGCGAAAGCGUGGGGAGCAAACAGGAUUAGAUACCCUGGUAGUCCACGCCGUAAACGUUGGGCACUAGGUGUGGGGCCUUAUCAACGGGUUCCGUGCCGUAGCUAACGCAUUAAGUGCCCCGCCUGGGGAGUACGGCCGCAAGGCUAAAACUCAAAGGAAUUGACGGGGGCCCGCACAAGCGGCGGAGCAUGUGCCUUAAUUCGAUGCAACGCGAAGAACCUUACCUGGGUUGAACUACGCCGGAAAAGCUACAGAGAUGUAGUGUCCGCAAGGGCCGGCGAUAGGUGGUGCAUGGCUGUCGUCAGCUCGUGUCGUGAGAUGUUGGGUUAAGUCCCGCAACGAGCGCAACCCUUGUCCCAUGUUACCAGCGGGUUAUGCCGGGGACUCGUGGGAGACUGCCGGGGUCAACUCGGAGGAAGGUGGGGAUGACGUCAAGUCAGCAUGCCCCUUAUGUCCAGGGCUGGACACAUGCUACAAUGGCCGGUACAAAGGGCUGCUAUCCCGCGAGGGGGAGCGAAUCCCAAAAAGCCGGUCUAAGUUCGGAUUGGAGUCCGCAGCUCGACUCCAUGAAGUCGGAGUCGCUAGUAAUCCCGGGCCCUCGCCGGGGUGAAUACGUCCCGGGCCUGCACACACUGCCCGUCACAAGGCGAA
rnacentral:rRNA from 1 species